rnacentral:tRNA from 1 species
AAGGGAGAAGUAUGUAGUGGACGUGCAUCUAGCUUGAAACUAGAAGGGGGGGGUUCGAAUCCUCCGUCUCUU